rnacentral:rRNA from 1 species
AGUGAACGCUGGCGGCAGGCCUAACACAUGCAAGUCGAGCGGCAGCGCGGGGGUAACCCUGGCGGCGAGCGGCGGACGGGUGAGGAAUUCGUCGGAAUCUGCCUUUUUGUGGGGGAUAACGUAGGGAAACUUACGCUAAUACCGCAUACGUCCUACGGGAGCAAGUGGGGGGUCGUAGGGCCUCACGCGGGAAGAUGAGCCGACGACCGAUUAGCUAGUUGGUGGGGUAAAGGCCUACCAAGGCGACGAUCGGUAGCUGGUCUGAGAGGAUGAUCAGCCACACUGGAACUGAGACACGGCCCAGACUCCUACGGGAGGCAGCAGUGGGGAAUAUUGGACAAUGGGCGCAAGCCUGAUCCAGCCAUGCCGCGUGUGUGAAGAAGGCCUUCGGGUUGUAAAGCACUUUUGUCCGGAAAGAAAUCCCUGGAGCUAAUACCUUCGGGGGAUGACGGUACCGGAAGAAUAAGCACCGGCUAACUUCGUG